AUAAAAUCCCUUAAAAAAAUAUGGGUAUUCGUGACUGAUAAGAACAAAAGACUGAUUAUAAUUUGUGUAGAUAAACAACAAAAAAUCUGUGAUUUGAGAUUAAACACCACUAGAUAUUUUGUAAUGACCAACAAAAACAUCAUCAAUAAACUUUAUUCUUUUUAAAAAAACUUAUUCAAUGCUUGCCAGAUUCGUAAAUUCGUUGCCGUCUGGCCUUUCUCAGCGAAUAACUAAACUUUAUUUUCGAGCGUUAAUUCGCAAUCAAAGGGAAGCUCACAGUUCCCAAGAGGACCACCAGUAUAAAAACAUGGAUGUAAAAAUCCUGCCAGCACUCCAGGACAACUACAUGUACUUGAUUGUAGACAAGGCAACAAAGGAAGCUGCUAUUGUUGAUCCUGUGGAACCUAAAACAGUUUUAAAAGCUGUUGAAGAACAGGGUGUAAAUUUGACUACUGUUCUAACUACUCAUCAUCAUUGGGAUCAUGCUGGUGGAAAUGAAGAUCUCAUCAAAGAACGUCCAGGUUUAAUAGUUUAUGGAGGUGACGACAGGAUCGGAGCCCUCACAAAAAAAGUUGAGCACAAUACAAAGUUUAAAAUCGGUAACCUGAAUGUACAGUGUCUUUUUACACCCUGUCAUACAACUGGGCAUAUAUGUUAUUUCGUAACUGCUCCAGAAGAAGGUAACGAUUCAGUUGUCUUCACCGGGGAUACACUCUUCUUAGGCGGAUGUGGCAGGUUCUUUGAAGGCACGGCAGAUCAAAUGUACAAAGCAUUAACAAUUCUGAGCAGCCUGCCUGACCACACUAAAGUGUUUUGUGGCCAUGAGUACACUUUGCAGAAUUUAAAAUUUGCUGCUCACGUAGAACCUACUAAUGAGAAUGUCAAAGCCAAAAUUAGCUGGUCACAAGACAGGCGAAACCAGGGAAAGCCCACAGUAUGAAACACAAUUAUACAUCAUAUAUUAUUUAAAGUAGUCGAAAAUGUUCAUAGGUUGGCCACUAAGUAAGCAGUAGGGCGUGUUUAUAAACCACAUGGGUUGGUGCCACCGCCCUGCCUUUUUCUGCCAUGAAGCAAUAAUGCAUUUUGGUUGAAGGGUGGGGCAGCCAUUGUACUAUAAAACUGAGGCUUAGAACUCGUGCCUCAAGGAGGGUGGCAUUUACGUUUUUGAUGUCUAUGGGCUUAGGUGAUAACACCAGGUAGGCCGCGAGCUCGUCCACCCAUCUGAGCAAUAAAAAAAGAAGCUAAUUCGCCUUGUGUUAGCAUACCUCAGGAACUUACUAAAUUCAAAUCAGAUUAAGAACCAUCAUUAAUACUGACUAGAAUUCAGUUCUUUUUUGUACUUUGGAUUACUUUUUAAAGUUGUUUAUAAUGUACAUUCUAUCCAGUCGCGAGAGACAAAUAAAAAUGAUAUUCUUAAUAUUUCAGGUGCCUUCUACGAUAGGUGAAGAGAAAUUAUACAAUCCAUUCAUGAGGGUCACUGAGUUGGCAGUUCAGAAUCACACUGGAAAAAAUGAUCCGAUUGAUACUAUGAAAGCAAUACGGCUAGAAAAAGAUACAUUUAAGUAAAUCUCUUUUUAUACAAAUAAAAAAAACUGUUGCAUUUCUGGAGCAUAUAUUGGUGUUUAUUUUUGUAUAUUCAAUAAAUUGUUUUCUUUUAUUAAA